UACAGAGGUCUCAAGCGUUGUUCGGAUUCAUUGGGCGUAAAGGGUGCGUAGGUGGCGCUGUAAGUCAGGUGUGAAAUUUCGGAGCUUAACUCCGAAACUGCAUUUGAUACUGCGGUGCUUGAGGACUGGAGAGGAGACUGGAAUUUACGGUGUAGCAGUGAAAUGCGUAGAGAUCGUAAGGAAGACCAGUGGCGAAGGCGGGUCUCUGGACAGUUCCUGACACUGAGGCACGAAGGCCAGGGGAGCAAACGGG
rnacentral:rRNA from 1 species